rnacentral:lncRNA from 1 species
GAAGGUGAAGUUGUUAGCAUUUAGUCUUUGAAUGGGAUGCACCCAAAGGAAGAGCAGGGGACCAAGCUCUGAAGAGAAACUUCCAGCUCAUGGACUCCUCACACAGAGAAAGCGCUCGUGGAAAAUUGGGCCAUUAUUAUGGCUUACUGUGUUUUCAUUUAAAUUGAUGAAAGCAGAGCAACUUCUGGUCCUGACCUAAUCAUAGGAGCCCUUUAAAGGCAGAGAGUUUUCUUUGGCUGCGUGGACAUGGAGGAUGUGCCACUGCUGGCUUGAAGAUGAAGGGACUACAUGUUGCAGGUCCUUCUAGUUGUGGGAUGUGGGACUCCGCCUCAAUGUGGCCUGACGAGUGGUGCCAUGUCGGCGCCCAGGACCCGAACCCUGAGCCGCCACAGCGGAGCGCGCGAACUUAACCACUAGGCCACGGAGCUGGCCCCCGCGAGGGAAGGAGAACCCAAGACCCUUCAUCUCUGUAGACCAGGAGGCUUGAGACUGAUGAUCUGUGCUUAGGCUGCACCCAGGGAGCAGACAGUUAUGAUCAGCUUGU